UAUGUGAUCGUCUCUCGCAUAUCAAUAAGCGGAGGAAAAGAAACUAACAAGGAUUCCCCUAGUCACGGCGAGUGAAGCGGGAAGAGCUCAAAUUUGAAAUCUUAAAGGGUUUCCCUUUACGAAUUGUAGUUUAAAGAAGUGUUUUCUGUUGAGGUUUUGGUAAAAGUUCUUUGGAAUAGGACAUCAUAGAGGGUGAGAAUCCCGUAUUUGACCUUUACUUUCAACUUUGUGAUACACUUUCAAAGAGUCGGAUUGUUUGGGAAUGCAGUCCAAAAUGGGUGGUAAAUUUCAUCUAAAGCUAAAUAUUGGCGAGAGACCGAUAGCGAACAAGUACCGUGAGGGAAAGAUGAAAAGAACUUUGAAAAGAGAGUUAAACAGUACGUGAAAUUGUCAAAAGGGAAGCGUUUGACACCAGUGUUGUUUUUCUGAAAAUCAAUUAAAGAACUGUUUAUGCUAAGUUGUUUAGACUUUAUCAGCUAUCUGUUUAGUUUUAGGCUUUUCUUUAAUGCACUUUUCAGUUAACAAGUCAACAUCAAUUUCUUUUGCUGUAAAAAAGCUUGAGGAAGGUGGCUUGAGAUUCGUCUUAAGUGUUUAUAGCCUCUUGCCUAUGCAGUCGGAGAGAUUGAGGUCUGCAGCGUAGAUCCUUCGGGGCUAAAUGCAUUUGUGCUAAGUUAUAGCAUUUUAUAGACAACUUGUUGACUAUGAUUUGUCUUGUAGCUUACUCGCUUAUGUUAUUUUACCUACGCUUAGGAUGUUGACACACGCGCGUGCUCG
rnacentral:rRNA from 1 species